rnacentral:misc_RNA from 1 species
GUAGGUGAACCUGCGGAAGGAUCAUUACCGAGUUUAAGAGGGAGCGUAAAAUCCUCUCUCUACUCCCAUCCUUGUUUAAUUUAUGAGCUGUAAAGCAGCUUCGGCGGGCCAUCUCUGUUUUAAGGGAUGUUGGCUCUGUAAAAACGAGCUGGCUUGCGCCUGCCGGAGUAAUCAAUCCUGAUAACUAUGAUGUCUGAGAAAAUGAUUUAAAUAAUCAAAACUUUCAACAACGGAUCUCUUGGUUCUGGCA